GGAAAACGGGGAAAACUCCAUUCUUAUGGUUGGCGUUACUGGUAUUGACAGCUGAGAAGAGGUUAAGAAAUCAAAACAAAGAACAUUGUUCUGUAAUUAAUAUAAAGAUUUUUUAUUUAGUAUUAAUUCGGUAGGGAAAUUUGUCAUAGUUCUCCCGUUCGAUUAAGGUUAUAUUGGGGGUUCUUUUGUACAAAAAUCAAUCGCCUUACAAUGGGUUUACUGCCUGACUCAUGUCAUCAUCAUAAACUUACAUUUAUUAUUAAAUUAGUUUGGUCUUCUGCGUCUACAUAACGUUYCAGUGCCGUAUUGUUCAAUGUAUUUGGGGCUGAUUCAUUAAGUCUAUGUUGGUAUUUGCAAAAGGGACCUCAUGUGGUAAGUAAUCCCCUCAUUAUUGGAGGUAAAAUAUUUUAUUGUGCAAUACAACUUUAUUCGAAUUGGAAAACUAUACAUCUCUUGGUCAGGAAGUAUGRUUACAUGUAAAGUUAUUGAAGUUAAAUAAUUAUAUCUAAAUCUGUUUUUUCAAGGGAAAUCAAGUCAAAGUCUUGGUGAAAAAAUUGGUAGCAGCUUAUCUUCAUAGCCACAAAUUUUAUUUGCUUCUUGAAUUUUUUUUUGCUUCUUGAAAUUUUGUUGUUGCCUGUAUGCUCUUAUAAAAGCGUCAUAAUCGAAUACUUGAGGACAGACACCACUAUAGUCAAUGUGUAACGAUAGAAUUCAUUGCAAUAUUGAUAGAAACACACACAAAUAUGGAAGAGGAUAGAUAUGGUGUCGACAUAAAAAUAUUAUCUGAAUUUAGACAGUUGAUGCUAAGAAGGAAAAGAAGUAAGAUGGACUUGUGUGUAGAAGUGUUUGUCAACCUUGCCAUCCAAGCAAAACUAAGGGCAAAGUUAAUGCUUGUGUCUGCAGUAGGCGAACUAACGUUUAUGAACAAUGCAACAAACGAAACUUUAAAAUUUUUACAAGUACAUUGGGUUGUGCCCAGCAGCAAGAAACCGGGGUAAAACUUCAGUUCAAUACCUUCAUAGGCACCGUAAACCUAGAAAUUUGUUUCGACGACCUUGAAACCACGGAGAGGUUCAUGAGUUUACUACCCCCGAUUGCUAGUCCAACACCCUGCUUGGAUUGAUUGGAAAAAUGGUUUCAAUUAAGAGGAUUGCUUUUCUGCAUCGAAUCGUCGUUCGAUGGAAACUAUGGACUGUUACCAGCGAGGAAGACCAUAAUAAAAAGCAUGAAGAUGAGUGAAGUUUUUUUUGUACGUAAAAAAUUAAGAUUUUGAUUGGAAGUAAUUGGAAAAUAUGCAUAAAUAAAUGAAUUCAUGUAGAGGAAUUUUCAUAUUCUUUGAUAUAAGUUCAGACUGUAAACUCAAUAAAAAAAUUAUAAACCUA